rnacentral:rRNA from 1 species
UUUUCGGAGAGUUUGAUCCUGGCUCAGGACGAACGCUGGCGGCGUGCCUAAUACAUGCAAGUCGAGCGAACAGAAGGGAGCUUGCUCCCGGAUGUUAGCGGCGGACGGGUGAGUAACACGUGGGUAACCCGCCUGUAAGACUGGGAUAACUCCGGGAAACCGGAGCUAAUACCGGAUAGUUCCUUGAACCGCAUGGUUCAAGGAUGAAAGACGGUUUCGGCUGUCACUUACAGAUGGACCCGCGGCGCAUUAGCUAGUUGGUGGGGUAAUGGCUCACCAAGGCGACGAUGCGUAGCCGACCUGAGAGGGUGAUCGGCCACACUGGGACUGAGACACGGCCCAGACUCCUACGGGAGGCAGCAGUAGGGAAUCUUCCGCAAUGGACGAAAGUCUGACGGAGCAACGCCGC